rnacentral:rRNA from 1 species
GACGAACGCUGGCGGCGUGCUUAACACAUGCAAGUCGAACGAAGAGCGAUGGAAGCUUGCUUCUAUCAAUCUUAGUGGCGAACGGGUGAGUAACGCGUAAUCAACCUGCCCUUCAGAGGGGGACAACAGUUGGAAACGACUGCUAAUACCGCAUACGAUCUAAUCUCGGCAUCGAGGAUAGAUGAAAGGUGGCCUCUACAUGUAAGCUAUCACUGAAGGAGGGGAUUGCGUCUGAUUAGCUAGUUGGAGGGGUAACGGCCCACCAAGGCGAUGAUCAGUAGCCGGUCUGAGAGGAUGAACGGCCACAUUGGGACUGAGACACGGCCCAGACUCCUACGGGAGGCAGCAGGGGGGAAUCUUCCGCAAUGGACGAAAGUCUGACGGAGCAACGCCGCGUGAGUGAUGACGGCCGUCGGGUUGUAAAGCUCUGUUAAUCGGGACGAAAGGCCUUCUUGCGAAUAGUGAGAAGGAUUGACGGUACCGGAAUAGAAAGCCACGGCUAACUACGUG